ACGGGGGCGGAGCCAAUGAAAGGGCCUAGGAAGCAGAGGACUUGGCCUCAAGAACCUCGUUUUCCGCACAGUGUGGGUACUGGCCUUAGAGGAAGGUCAAUAGAACAUGGCUUCAGAAUUGAGAGAACCAAGCCUUUUAUGGUAUUAUCGGGCCUAGUCCCCCAGAAAACCUGAAGACGGUAACCACGCCCCCAAGGUGCUAAGAACUGUUACUUGCCGAAGUCACUGUCAAGCUUGCUGACACCAGAUCGAGUGGUAUCGUUUCUCUAGCUAAUGAGGGUAAUAUUGAAUGAAACCUUCAAGCACCAGGAAGCUGGUUUGAUUUGGGAAAUAUCCAGCCCCACAAUUUUGGAUUUUGGCCACUAUC